AAUGGAUAUUGCAACACUGGCACCGCAAUGGAAGAUGAAAAUGCUGAUGGAAAUCUAACCUCGACCUACGAACUCAAGAUCCCUUCCUUCCCAAAUUUUCUCCAAGUUUGCAUAAAAAUAUGAAUCAUUUUUUUAAAUGUACAUGAUUCUGAGGAGCUCAUUCAUUGUGGUUCAACAUAGCAGACUUUUUUUUAACCAACCAAGACUUUCCUGCCAUCUGAUGCCAAUUUGGGCUAAAAUACCUUUUUCCCCUAGCAACUUAAAGUGUGAGAACAUAUGCUUUCCUCUGCCUGCACCCUGUCCACAGUACAUCCUGUAAAAUUCCAUCCUUCAGCAGUUAACUUAUAGCUUUAGAAUGAUACAAGUCUUAAAAUAAAAGUUUGAGGGCUCAAGGAAAACACUGAGUUCCUAAUGUAAAUAUAUCAUGAAGCCAAACAUUUCAGAAAAUAUUCAAGUUCCAUAAUUUUGCCUUUCUUAAAGGAGUCUUUGGAGAGCUAUUGCUUGUUCUUUUCCAUUAAAAAAUAUGAAGUUUAUGCAGUGAUCAUUUCCCCUAGGGUUGCAGAUGUAGGCAAGCUGUACUUGGCCCUCCAAGAAAGAUACACAAAGUUUAACGUUUCAUUAUACUCUGAAAAAAAUGAACUGUUUCCUAAGCAGGCUCUGUACUGUUAGGAUAAAUUGUAAUACCAAAUUUAAUGUAUGCCUUACUCUGGAAAACAAUAAGAAAUUU
rnacentral:lncRNA from 1 species